UACUUAACUGCCUUAGAAACGUGCAAGGGUAUCAAAAGCCUCGACUACCGAAGCGCAGCCUUUCUUUCUUUGUUGCGGCUUGGUUCCGCUGUUAAUGGAAACAUGUUAUGCAUUUAAAUUAACGCUCAAUGGCAUUUCGUUUGGCUCUCUUUGAGUUUUGCUAAUUAAAAUCAACCAACGGAUGAAGACUAUGAUGCAGGAGAAUAGGGCAGCCUGGGUACCGCAAAAGGGGCAGGCACGCCAACGCCACGUUAGGCCCCCUGGGCUAUGGACACCUAAAACUCUCGCUCACAAAUCGUUCGGUAACAUGCAACUGCCUUUUGUUUGCAAUUAACAAUUAGAAAUUACAGAAUUCCAUGAUAAAAGUGCGUUUGGUAAUGUAAUAGCCAAGAAGCCUCAGCUUGUAGGAUGGAUUCUUCAGUUAGGUCUCCCAUAAGUAUUCACUGAUCAGCUUGAGUAAGUAUUAACUUUACAAUUGGUGCCUCCGAAAAGAACUUUCACCAACUCUUCAUCUCAAUCUCACAAAUUAAAAUAAAGCUUAUAAAUUUCUUCUGCUAGAGACUGAUCUAUGGAUAAACUGCAGAGAUCCUCGCAUGGUAUGCCUCACUGUACCCCACAAAUCAAAUAAACAAAUUGAGAAUUAUGACAAAUUCAAGCGAUGUUCGGUUUCUCUAAUCUAUAAAUGACAUCGCCGCUCCGCACCGCACACACUCAAACACAGGAAAAAUUGUAAAAUAAUUGAAUAUGUAUUAACAGCUGCUGCGUCUGCGGCGGCGGCGCCAUUUCUUUUAUGAGUGUUUUGUGUUCUGUUCAGAAGUGUUUAUUGAAUCCGGGCAGUUAUAAUAUAAGUUAAUUGACUGACAGCCGCAGUCGGAAGCACAUGUAGUGUCAUAUGCACAAGGACACUGCCUCACCUCAUCAUUGCACUAGACACUGACACACAAAGCUAGGUGGCGCAAAGGCUUUUGCCGGCCGACCCCCUAUGGACAGAAAUAGAUGAAAAAGAACGCGACGACAGAUGCAAAAAAUAAACUGAAACGAAACCAACUAAAAUGGCGUCCUCCAUUUGGAAGAUUUUUCCUAGGAAACGUUGUUGCUACCUUUUUGUUCCCCCGUACGCAAAACGAACGACUGGAGGCGGAGAGAAGAGCGUAAAUUGUAAAUGGGAGACACAAAGCAGACUACGACUUUGCUGAUGAUGAUGAUGAUGAUGGGGAGAGCUUGCGGUCUAUACGCCGCUCUGUGCUCUGCGUUCUGAGCUGCAGUUUAUCUCAUGCUUUUGUUCACAUUUGCGCCCAUUUAUUGUAUACUAAUAUAAUUAAAUAUCACGAAACGAAACGAAAUGUUGUGCAGCAGAGCAGCGCACACACAAAAAGUCGAU